rnacentral:siRNA from 1 species
AUCUAGGUUCCAAUCAAUUUGCCU